GACGAACGCUGGCGGCGUGCUUAACACAUGCAAGUCGAACGGAAAGGCCCUGCUUUUGUGGGGUGCUCGAGUGGCGAACGGGUGAGUAACACGUGAGUAACCUGCCCUUGACUUUGGGAUAACUUCAGGAAACUGGGGCUAAUACCGGAUAGGAGCUCCUGCUGCAUGGUGGGGGUUGGAAAGUUUCGGCGGUUGGGGAUGGACUCGCGGCUUAUCAGCUUGUUGGUGGGGUAGUGGCUUACCAAGGCUUUGACGGGUAGCCGGCCUGAGAGGGUGACCGGCGACAUUGGGACUGAGAUACGGCCCAGACGCCUACGGGAGGCAGCAGUGGGGAAGAUUGCACAAUGGGCGGAAGCCGGAUGCAGCAACGCCGCGUGCGGGAUGACGGCCUUCGGGUUGUAAACCGCUUUCGCCUGUGACGAAGCGUGAGUGACGGUAAUGGGUAAAGAAGCACCGGCUAACUACGUG
rnacentral:rRNA from 1 species